GGCGUAGCUGAGGCGUGUCUGCGAUAGCAUCUGCACCUCGUCUCUAAAGGUGCCACUGUGUCUUUCAUGUCAGCCUUCUGCUGAUAAUUACAGCCGUCCUUUCUCUCGGCCUGAGUCGCACCAAAGCUGCCAGUCUGUGCAGCUCAAGCCAGAGGAAUUAUCGUCCCGGCCAUCGCAAAACGGAGCACACCAAGUAUCAACCCUUUUAAGCAGAAACCAAAAGCAUCACUCCAAUGGCAAGACUACCAAAGGGAUGUAAGGCAAAUCUCCAUGCUAAUUCUCCUCCUGCAAUCAUUCUUGUCUCUCUCCAGCUGUAUAGCUCACAUGGUUUGUCUCCAUCUAUUUUCAGUCAGACAUAAUUAAGGCCCAUUGUUUAUAUUGUUGAUCAUAAAUUAAGAUGAUUAACCGUCUGCCGGAAACAUUUUUUCGCUUGAUGGUAUUGUUGUCACAGCA